CAAUUUUCUUCGCUGUGAGAUACCCCUCCUUCCUAAAUGAAACGGAGAAAGGGAGUCGAGCACUAGUGUUCCGUUUAUUCAUUGCCUCCCAUUGUGACACGUAAGUGGCCCCACCACCACCAGCGCUGCCACUGUAGUGGUGGGGACAAAGGCUCUUCGCCUAAGGAAACAAUGGCCCCUCCUGAAACAAGUCCCUAAAAAGCUGGGGCACCUGGGGCGUCGCACAGGGAAGCGCAGGACUGUUGGCAUGGAUUUAGCUUCUAACUGCCAUCUCCAGUAAGUCAGAGAAACAGAAGACACUGAUGUCUGCUUGGAUUGUCCUCUGUCCACACUGCCUCCCAAGUGUCAAGCAAUGGAAAAAGAACAAGCGGUAUCCUCAACGUUUAGAAGAGCUUCGAUCUCUCUGGUCCAACAAGACAAACUCCCUUCGUGAGGUCUCUAUGACUUGGUACCCAGCUUCUAAGGCUGUCUGUCAUCUCAGAUGCUCCAGUCAGGCUCGUUAGAAGCAGAUAUCUCCAAAUACAUCGGGAUAUUCAACCUAUAGGCCAGUCUUAUUUCGAACAUCAAUCCCUGAACAAUCGCAAACCUUUGA
rnacentral:sRNA from 1 species